CAUGCAAGUCGAGCGGUAACAGACAUAAAGAUUCAGCUUGCUGAAUCCGGUGCUGACGAGCGGCGAACGGGUGAGUAACGCGUAGGAAUCUACCCAGUAGCGGGGGAUAGCCCGAGGAAACUCGGAUUAAUACCGCAUACGCCCUGAGGGGGAAAGGGGGCAGUUUACUGCUCUCACUAUUGGAUGAGCCUGCGUAAGAUUAGCUUGUUGGUGGGGUAAUGGCCUACCAAGGCGACGAUCUUUAGCUGGUCUGAGAGGACGAUCAGCCACAUUGGGACUGAGACACGGCCCAGACAUCUACGGAUGGCAGCAGUUAAGAAUAUUGGACAAUGGGGGCAACCCUGAUCCAGGUAUACCGCGUGUGUGAAGAAGGCCCUAGGGUUGUAAAGCACUUUAAUCAGAGAAGAAGCAUUUUAAGUUAAUACCUUAAUAUGUUGACGUUACCUGAAGAAUAAGGACCGGCUAACUCCGUGCCAGCAGCCGCGGUAAUACGGAGGGUCCAAGCGUUAAUCGGAAUUACUGGGCGUAAAGCGCGCGUAGGCGGUUUAGCAAGUUGUAUGUGAAAGCCCUGGGCUCAACCUAGGAACUGCAUCCAAAACUACUAAGCUAGAGUACGAGAGAGGAGAGUAGAAUUUCUGGUGUAGCGGUGAAAUGCGUAGAUAUCAGAAGGAAUACCAAUGGCGAAGGCAGCUCUCUGGCUCGUCACUGACGCUGAGGUGCGAAAGCGUGGGUAGCAAACAGGAUUAGAUACCCUGGUAGUCCACGCCGUAAACGAUGAGAACUAGCCGUUGGGCAGAUUUAACUGUUCAGUGGCACAGCUAACGCAUUAAGUUCUCCGCC
rnacentral:rRNA from 1 species